GGUUAAGCGACUAAGCGUACACGGUGGAUGCCCUGGCAGUCAGAGGCGAUGAAGGGCGUGCUAAUCUGCGAUAAGCGCCGGUAAGGUGAUAUGAACCGCAAUAACCGGCGAUACCCGAAUGGGGAAACCCAGUGUGACUCGUCACACUAUCAUGCAGUGAAUACAUAGCUGUAUGAGGCGAACCGGGGGAACUGAAACAUCUAAGUACCCCGAGGAAAAGAAAUCAACCGAGAUUCCCCCAGUAGCGGCGAGCGAACGGGGAGGAGCCCAGAACCAUCAUCAGCUUGUGCAUCAGUGGAAGCGUCUGGAAAGUCGCAGGGUACAGGGUGAUACUCCCGUACACAAAGGUGCACAGGCUGUGAGUUCGAUGAGUAAGGCGGGACACGUGGUAUCCUGUCUGAAUAUGGGGGGACCAUCCUCCAAGGCUAAAUACUCCUGACUGACCGAUAGUGAACCAGUACCGUGAGGGAAAGGCGAAAAGAACCCCGGCGAGGGGAGUGAAACAGAACCUGAAACCGUGUACGUACAAGCAGUGGGAGCCUCUUUAUGGGGUGACUGCGUACCUUUUGUAUAAUGGGUCAGCGACUUAUAUUCUGUAGCAAGGUUAACCGUAUAGGGGAGCCGCAGGGAAACCGAGUCUUAACUGGGCGUUAAGUUGCAGGGUAUAGACCCGAAACCCGGUGAUCUAGCCAUGGGCAGGUUGAAGGUUGGGUAACACUAACUGGAGGACCGAACCGACUAAUGUUGAAAAAUUAGCGGAUGACCUGUGGCUGGGGGUGAAAGGCCAAUCAAACCGGGAGAUAGCUGGUUCUCCCCGAAAGCUAUUUAGGUAGCGCCUCGUGAACUCAUCUCCGGGGGUAGAGCACUGUUUCGGCUAGGGGGCCAUCCCGGCUUACCAACCCGAUGCAAACUGCGAAUACCGGAGAAUGUUAUCACGGGAGACACACGGCGGGUGCUAACGUCCGUCGUGAAGAGGGAAACAACCCAGACCGCCAGCUAAGGUCCCAAAGUCAUGGUUAAGUGGGAAACGAUGUGGGAAGGCCCAGACAGCCAGGAUGUUGGCUUAGAAGCAGCCAUCAUUUAAAGAAAGCGUAAUAGCUCACUGGUCGAGUCGGCCUGCGCGGAAGAUGUAACGGGGCUAAACCAUGCACCGAAGCUGCGGCAGCGACACUAUGUGUUGUUGGGUAGGGGAGCGUUCUGUAAGCCGUCGAAGGUGUGCUGUGAGGCAUGCUGGAGGUAUCAGAAGUGCGAAUGCUGACAUAAGUAACGAUAAACAAGGUGAAAAACCUUGUCGCCGGAAGACCAAGGGUUCCUGUUCAACGUUAAUCGGAGCAGGGUGAGUCGACCCCUAAGGCGAGGCCGAAAGGCGUAGUCGAUGGGAAACAGGUUAAUAUUCCUGUACUUGGUGUUACUGCGAAGGGGGGACGGAGAAGGCUAUAUC
rnacentral:rRNA from 1 species